AAGUCGUAACAAGGUUUCCGUAGGUGAACCUGCGGAAGGAUCAUUAAUAAAAUGAUAGUUUUUUGGGGUUUUCCCUGAAAAAUAAUUCACCACUUGUGCAUUGUUAUUAGAUAUACUUUGGUUAGAGCUUUGAUUUCAUUUAUUGGAAUCAACUUCUUGCUGACUCUAUCCUUUCUGAGGACAGUUGGCUAUGAAGCGGCCUACCAAGGUUUUUUAUCAAACACAUUUAAUUUAUCUGACCUAAACUAUUAUAAUAAAAUCAUAACUUUCAACAACGGAUCUCUUGGCUCUC
rnacentral:misc_RNA from 1 species